GCUGUGCCCACUUUACAGAUGUGUUCUCCCCGAGGAUGCUAACGUGUGGGACAGUAUUUGAUCAGCAGCAGGGCUCCCAGGGAAGUUAACCUCCCUGCCAGGGACUUGGGCCUACAGCCAUAGUCUCCCUCCUCGUUCCUGUUUCCUGUUGGGGGACACUGGCCCUGUCCCAUCUGCUCACCUCUCUGCCUGAAACGCUGCCUGAGCACAGGACAAACAGGGAAUCUCAAGAGGCGACACACAGACUCAUCACACCCAAAGCAACAGGCAAUAUAAAGCAUUAAAAGACGUGGUUGAGUGAGUCCUGGAGAUAAGCCAUUGCCCAUCAGAGAUCUCCUUCCCACGGACGUAAGCCCGAGGCUCU
rnacentral:lncRNA from 1 species